rnacentral:rRNA from 1 species
ACCCAAAGGACUUGGCGGUGCCUCAAACCCACAUAGAGGAGCCUGUCCUAGAACCGAUGAUCCCCGUUAAACCUCACCUCUCCUUGUUUUAUCAGCCUAUAUACCGCCGUCGUCAGCUUACCUUUUGAAAGACCAAUAGUAAGCCCAAGGAGCCAUGCUCAGAACGUCAGGUCGAGGUGUAGCCAACGGAGAGGGAAUGAGAUGGGCUACAUUCUCUGACC